rnacentral:rRNA from 1 species
AUUGAACGCUGGCGGCAGGCCUAACACAUGCAAGUCGAACGGGUGGCGGACGGGUGAAUGAUUUCUGGAAACCUGCCUGAUGUAGGGGGAUAACUACUGGAACCGGUAGCUAAUACCGCUAACCAUCAGUUCUGCCGAGAGUGGAUUAGCUUGCGGGUGGGGUAACGGCUCACCAAGGGGACGAUCCCUAGCUGGUCUGAGAGGAUGACCAGCCACACUGGAACUGAGACACGGUCCAGACUCCUACGGGAGGCAGCAGUGGGGAAUAUUGGACAAUGGGCGCAAGCCUGACGGAGCCAUGCCGCGUGUAUGAAGAAGGUUUUCGGGUUGUAAAGCACUUUCAGCGGGGAGGCGUUAUCCGCAGAAAAAGCACCGGCUAACUCCGUGCCAGCAGCCGCGGUAAUAC